GACGAACGCUGGCGGCGUGCUUAACACAUGCAAGUCGAACGGAAGGGCCCUGCUUUUGUGGGGUGCUCGAUUGGGGAAGGGGGGAGUAACACGUGAGUAACAUCCCCUUGUCUUUGGGGUAACUUCAGGAAACUGGGGCUAAUACCGGGUAGGAGCUCCUGAUCCACGGGGGGGGUUGGAAAGUUUCGGCUGUGGGGGCUGGUCUCGCGGCUUAUCAGCUGGUUGGUGGGGUAGGGGCUUACCAAGGGUUUGACGGGUAGCCGGCCUGAGAGGGUGACCGGCGACCUUGGGCCUGCGAUACGCACCAGACUCCUACGGGAGGCAGCAGUGGGGAAUAUUGCGUAAUGGGCGGAAGCCUGAUGCAGCAGCGCCGCGUGCGGGAUGACGUCUUUCGGGUUGUAAACCGCUUUCGCCUGUGACGAAGCGUGAGUGACGGUAAUGGGUAAAGAAGCACCGGCUAACUACGUG
rnacentral:rRNA from 1 species